rnacentral:rRNA from 1 species
GAUGAACGCUGGCGGCGUGCCUAACACAUGCAAGUCGAACGAAGCACCUUACCGGACUCUUCGGAUGAAAGUUUGGUGACUGAGUGGCGGACGGGUGAGUAACGCGUGGGUAACCUGCCCUGUACCAGGGGGAUAACAGCUGGAAACGGCUGCUAAUACCGCAUAAGCGCACGAGGAGACAUCUCCUUGUGUGAAAAACUCCGGUGGUACAGGAUGGGCCCGCGUCUGAUUAGCUGGUUGGCAGGGUAACGGCCUACCAAGGCGACGAUCAGUAGCCGGUCUGAGAGGAUGAACGGCCACAUUGGAACUGAGACACGGUCCAAACUCCUACGGGAGGCAGCAGUGGGGAAUAUUGCACAAUGGGGGAAACCCUGAUGCAGCAACGCCGCGUGAGUGAAGAAGUAUUUCGGUAUGUAAAGCUCUAUCAGCAGGGAAGAUAAUGACGGUACCUGACUAAGAAGCUCC